UACGGAGGGGGCAAGCGUUGUUCGGAGUUACUGGCGUAAGGGCGCGAGUAGGCGGUGCGACAAGUCAGGCGUGAAAGCCCCGGGCUUAACCUGGGAAUUGCGCUUGAUACUGUCGCGCUAGAGAUCGGGAGAGGAUGGCGGAAUUCCCAGUGUAGAGGUGAAAUGCGUAGAUAUCUGGAGGAACACCGUGGCGAAGGCGAGCGCCUGGACCGGAUUGACGCUGGAGGCGCGAAAGCCGGGAGGCAAACGGGAU
rnacentral:rRNA from 1 species